UACGGGGGGGGCAAGCGUUGUUCGGAAUUACUGGGCGUAAAGGGCGCGUAGGCGGCCUGCUAAGUCGGAUGUGAAAUCCCUCGGCUCAACCGAGGAACUGCAUCCGAUACUGGCGGGCUUGAAUCCGGGAGAGGGUGGUGGAAUUCCCGGUGUAGUGGUGAAAUGCGUAGAGAUCGGGAGGAACACCCGUGGCGAAGGCGGCCACCUGGGCCGACCCUGACGCUGAGGCGCGAAGGCGUGGGGAGCGAACGGG
rnacentral:rRNA from 1 species